rnacentral:pre_miRNA from 1 species
AAAAAGGCAAACCCUGGGUUUCCGUGUCCAACGUUUGACUGUCCGUCUUAUAUGAAAUUUUUUUAUAAUUAGUAUUUUUAUUAUUGUUAAAUAAUAAAACAUGAUUAAUACUUAAUGCGUGACUUGUCUUUUUAAUUUUUUCAAAUAAGACACACGGUCAAACGUUGGACACGUAAACCCAUGGUUUGUCUUUUU